GCCAUGUUGAAUCGGAGUAGUGAGAACAAGCACCCUAACUUUAUUCCUGGCCUUAGAGGAAAAGCUUUCAACAUUUCACCACUGAGUAUGUUGUUAGCUAUGGGCUUGUCAUCUAUGGUCUUUAUUAUUCUGAGAUAGAGCCGCAUCCGUCUUGAAGUGAUGAGCCUUCUGGGAGUACUUUGCAAGUGAUUUUUUUCUUGGGCCUAGAAUGAAAACAUGUUGAACAAUUAAAAACCAAAAACUGUCUCCAGAAGCUGGGAAGUGGCACUGAGUAGCCAUGUCAUGACUUUUGUUCCUCCAUCCUGCUGAUGCCAUGGAAAUCAGAUAAUAAAUAGCAAAGGUUA